rnacentral:rRNA from 1 species
CCUACGGGAGGCAGCAGUGAGGAAUAUUGGUCAAUGGAGGCAACUCUGAACCAGCCAUGCCGCGUGAAGGAUGACGGCCCUAUGGGUUGUAAACUUCUUUUAUAGAGGAAGAAACUUGUCUACGUGUAGACAACUGACGGUACUCUACGAAUAAGGAUCGGCUAACUCCGUGCCAGCAGCCGCGGUAAUACGGAGGAUCCAAGCGUUAUCCGGAUUCAUUGGGUUUAAAGGGUUCGCAGGCGGUUUAUUAAGUCAGUGGUGAAAGCCUACAGCUCAACUGUAGAACUGCCAUUGAUACUGAUAGACUUGAAUUUAGUUGAAGUAGGCGGAAUGUGUAGUGUAGCGGUGAAAUGCUUAGAUAUUACACAGAACACCGAUAGCGAAGGCAGCUUACUAAACUACGAUUGACGCUCAUGAACGAAAGCGUGGGGAGCGAACAGGAUUAGAUACCCUGGUAGUCCACGCAGUAAACGAUGAUUACUCGGUAUUGGCUUCGGUCAGUGCCCAAGCGAAAGUGAUAAGUAAUCCACCUGGGGAGUACGGUCGCAAGAUUGAAACUCAAAGGAAUUGACGGA